rnacentral:rRNA from 1 species
UACAGAGGUGGCAAGCGUUGUUCGGAAUUACUGGGCGUAAAGGGCGAGUAGGCGGCCUUCUAAGUCAGACGUGAAAUCCCCGGGCUCAACCUGGGAACUGCAUCUGUGACUGCAUCGCUGGAGUGCGGCAGAGGGGGAUGGAAUUCCGCGUGUAGCAGUGAAAUGCGUAGAUAUGCGGAGGAACACCGAUGGCGAAGGCAAUCCCCUGGGCCUGCACUGACGCUCAUGCACGAAAGCGUGGGGAGCAAACAGG